rnacentral:rRNA from 1 species
UACGUAGGGUGCAAGCGUUGUCCGGAGUUAUUGGGCGUAAAGAGCUCGUAGGCGGUUUGUCGCGUCUGCUGUGAAAACUCGGGGCUUAACCCCGGGCCUGCAGUGGGUACGGGCAGACUAGAGUGCGGUAGGGGAGACUGGAAUUCCUGGUGUAGCGGUGAAAUGCGCAGAUAUCAGGAGGAACACCGGUGGCGAAGGCGGGUCUCUGGGCCGUAACUGACGCUGAGGAGCGAAAGCGUGGGGAGCGAACAGG